AGUCACCACCAAAGACCCCUUCCAGGAUAUGACCGAGAGUGUGUUGACCUUCGAAUACGAGGACACCACACACUCACAGGCCGUGGACGAGGAGGAAAGUGUUCUGGGCCCGGGUGCCAUCACAGCCAUCGUCAUCGCAGUCGUCCUGGGGGCUUCAGUCCUCCUCGCCCUCAUCGUCAUUACACUCAGGAAGUUCACUGCUUCCUAGAGCCACUUCCUCCUCUUUCUUUCAAUCUCUCUUUCACUUCUUUGUCACUUCCAUUCAUCUAUCUUUAUUGUUUUUCCCCAUUCUCUAAAUUCUCUCCCAUUCACUCUGUUUCCCUUACACACAUAUAUUGUGAAAGUGAAACCCUCUACAACCCUGGAUGCUAUAAUGGUAUGUGGCAGGUCCCUUUUGGCCUUGAAGAGCAACUGACAAUGAAAUACCUUCAGCCUCUAGCUACUAUAAUCAUGCUGUUCUUGUUGGCCCCCAUGUCCACUAUUACGUUGUCAAUUGGAGGUUUAAGUGGGAGUUAGGAUUUGCCCCUAAGAGGACAUUAGAGACUGGCAGGUUCUUCCAGUGUAACGUCAUAGCUUUAAUAAAAUCCCUUUUACUUUACUUGUAAUGAUCUGUGUGCCGAAAUGUUUUGUCCAGCUUUGAUUUGUUCUUGCUGAUCUUUGUGGAAGUAAUUUUUUUUCUGACGGUUCUGUUGUGUGUUGCUGUAUCCUGUCUGUCUUUGUGUAUGAACGGGUGUGAUGAGUGUGUCUUUGUGAAGAUGAAUCCACCAUGUUCAUUACGUUGCUGAGUGCCUACUCCGUUUGGUUAAAAGUGAAGUGUUAUUGACAGUAGAAUAAAAAAAUGAAAUGAUUUACCAAAUGUACAACACAGAAUUCACUUGUAUGAUCAAAUGUUAUUUGGAAUGAUCUUAUCUCAUGAGAGAAUGUUUUCACAAUGCACACAAUGUGCUACCUUUCAUUGGCAAGUAGUCUUUUUUUAAUUUAAGAAACGUUUGCCAUUUUCCAUUGGAACAAACAUAUUGAUAGUGACCCAGAAUUAUAAUAUUUGAAUAUGAAAAUGCUGGCGUCGUCAAUAAAUAAACAUAAACAGGGUAUUUUUUAUUUUUUUUUAACCUGCAAAGCAAAUAACCUUGCCUAUUAAACGGCAGAAUGACUGUUGUGUUUGUGUUUUUGGGGGGGAUUGAUGGGAAGCGUUGUAUAAUAUUUAGAUUUUCUCUGUAUUACUCUUGCGUUUUACCAAUCAACUAACUAAUGCUUAUGUAAAACAAAUAUUCUUUAAGGUAAUAUCACCUGUUUUGAACUAUGGUUUAUAUUGUAUAAAUCACUUCCUACAACCAAAUAUUAGUCUUGUCAUUUAUUUCAAAUGUAUAUGGGUAAU
rnacentral:lncRNA from 1 species